CUACGGGAGGCUGCAGUGGGGAAUAUUGGGCAAUGGGCGCAAGCCUGACCCAGCAACGCCGCGUGAGGGAAGAAGGUUUUCGGAUUGUAAACCUCUGUCCUUGGGGACGAAGAAGUGACGGUACCCAAGGAGGAAGCUCCGGCUAACUACGUGCCAGCAGCCGCGGUAAUACGUAGGGAGCAAGCGUUGUCCGGAAUUACUGGGCGAAAAGGGUGCGUAGGCGGCAUAUUAAGUCAGGUGUGAAAUACUCGGGCUCAACCCGGGGGCUGCAUUUGAAACUGAUAUGCUUGAGUGUGAGAGAGGAAAGUGGAAUUCCUAGUGUAGCGGUGGAAUGCGUAGAUAUUAGGAGGAACACCAGUGGCGAAGGCGACUUUCUGGCUCAUAACUGACGCUGAGGCACGAAAGCGUGGGGAGCAAACAGGAUUAGAUACCCCGGUAGUC
rnacentral:rRNA from 1 species